GGGCCCUCAAUCUCGAAUCAGCCAUCCUUUAUCCUCAUCAUCCACCCCGUCACCCCUAAAUAACACGGCCCCGGAGCCCACCACGGCCAGAAUCCAUCCAAUCGUCUCCACCCCAUUGUCGGUCGAUAGCCUCAACCGUCAGCCGUCUUCAAUCACGCCGCCCAUGUCAACGACACGACGUCUGACCGUGCAUUUGGCGGCCCCAUCUCGCCCCAAUCAAUCAUGCGCCGACAUCCAUCCCCCUCUCCAUCUCUUUC
rnacentral:misc_RNA from 1 species